rnacentral:rRNA from 1 species
AAUAGCCUAACGGCUGAACCAGCAACUUGGAGGAACAUACAGCAAUAGCUGGUUGCAUUAACAAUAAGUUUUUACAACAUCGACUAUGUCGAAUAAAGUUCUAGGUAGAGUUAUGAUAAUGACAUUUUCUAUCUAUGUGUCUUGACCAAAUCACGUGCCAGCAGUCGCGGUAAUACGUGGAAGACUAGUGUUAUUCAUCUUUAAUUGGUUUAAAGGGUACCUAGACGGUCUAUUAAGCCCCUAAAGGGUACUUACAGACUAGAGUUUGAUGAGAGGGGGGAAGUACGAGAGAGUGUAGAGAUGAAAUUCUGUCAUACCUUACUUGGAACAGGCAACGGCGAAAGCAACUCCUUAUGUAAAAACUGACGUUGAAGGACGAAGGCUUGGGACACCAACAGGAUUAGAUACCCCAGCAGUCCUUGCAGACAAUGAUGAAUGUCAUAGAUUGGAAUUAAAUAUCUUUUUUUUUAAGAUAUCUUUUUGUCUAUAAAUGAAAGUGUAAGCAUUCCACCUCAAGAGUAAUGUGGCAACGCAGAAACUGAAAUCAUUAGACCGUUUCUGAAACCAGUAGUGAAGUAUGUUGUUUAAUUUGGUGACCCGCAAAACACCUUACCACAAUUUGAAUAUUUUUAUGUUUAUAUA